rnacentral:rRNA from 1 species
ACAUGCAGUCGAGCGAACUGAUUAGAAGCUUGCUUCUAUGACGUUAGCGGCGGACGGGUGAGUAACACGUGGGCAACCUGCCUGUAAGACUGGGAUAACUUCGGGAAACCGAAGCUAAUACCGGAUAGGAUCUUCUCCUUCAUGGGAGAUGAUUGAAAGAUGGUUUCGGCUAUCACUUACAGAUGGGCCCGCGGUGCAUUAGCUAGUUGGUGAGGUAACGGCUCACCAAGGCAACGAUGCAUAGCCGACCUGAGAGGGUGAUCGGCCACACUGGGACUGAGACACGGCCCAGACUCCUACGGGAGGCAGCAGUAGGGAAUCUUCCGCAAUGGACGAAA